GAUGAACGCUGGCGGCGUGCCUAAUACAUGCAAGUCGAGCGAACGGACGAGAAGCUUGCUUCUCUGAUGUUAGCGGCGGACGGGUGAGUAACACGUGGAUAACCUACCUAUAAGACUGGGAUAACUUCGGGAAACCGUAGCUAAUACCGGAUAAUAUUUUGAACCGCAUGGUUCAAAAGUGAAAGACGGUCUUGCUGUCACUUAUAGAUGGAUCCGCGCUGCAUUAGCUAGUUGGUAAGGUAACGGCUUACCAAGGCAACGAUGCAUAGCCGACCUGAGAGGGGGGUCGGCCACACUGGAACUGAGACACGGUCCAGACGCCUACGGGAGGCAGCAGUAGGGAAUCUUCCGCAAUGGGCGAAAGCCUUGCGGAGCAACGCCGAGUGAGUGAUGAAGGUCUUCGGAUCGUAAAACUCUGUUAUUAGGGAAGAACAGAUGUGUAAGUAACUGUGCACAUCUUGACGGUACCUAAUCAGAAAGCCACGGCUAACUACGUG
rnacentral:rRNA from 1 species